rnacentral:rRNA from 1 species
UACAGAGGGGGCAAGCGUUGUUCGGAAUUACUGGGCGUAAAGGGCGCGUAGGCGGCCUGUUAAGUCGAACGUGAAAUCCCCGGGCUCAACCCGGGAACUGCGUCCGAUACUGGCAGGCUUGAAUCCGGGAGAGGGAUGCGGAAUUCCAGGUGUAGCGGUGAAAUGCGUAGAUAUCUGGAGGAACACCGGUGGCGAAGGCGGCAUCCUGGACCAAUACUGACACUGAGGAGCGAAAGCCAGGGGAGCAAACGGG